rnacentral:misc_RNA from 1 species
AGAACAUACUGAUAAAUUACAAGAAAAACUCAAAAAACAUAACUUCAAAACAUAGGACACUGAAAAUUAAAAUUCAACAUAGGAAGUAUGUAUUCCAGAGUUUAUUUCCCAGAAGUUAGGGUCAAACCCAACUUCAACACAAACUAAAAUCAGUCGCUGUUCUAAUUUACUCAUACCCUGUAAAAGUAUGAUAUCACACAACAGCAUCGUAGAACAUUACAAGUCUUUGAUCUAGACACUACAGCCAUACACGUAACAUCUUCCAUACUCCCAUUUAUACCAUAUCAUAUCAUACUACCAUUUAUCAUACUACCAUUUAAUCCCACUGUCCAACUUCUGAUGCCAAAAUCAUAUCUAACCACCCUUCCAACUAGAGCUCUGAAGAUAUCUGGCACAGAACCAAUCACAUACACGAUAAAUUAUCACCUGCCAACCAAUGAUAGCACCAGCAGUUCUGACAGCUAGGGCAAGAUGAAAGUCGAGUAAAAUGGCGAGUGCACCAUAUGUUUAUUCCACCAACUCCUCCAAUGUAAGCCCAAAACAAACAGUUGCUUAUUAAACAUUCUAUUCCGACCCAUGUAACCAGACAAAAGUAUUAACUUCUUACGAAUUUCGCAUCAUAAACAUGUUCAAUAUUUGUCUUCCCAUGGCAAGAGAGCUCAGCGAAAUAUGUUCAGUAGCAAGGCCCCACAAGGAGCCACAGCCACCCAUGCUCCAAC